rnacentral:rRNA from 1 species
UGUAUGGUUAAGUGACUAAGCGUACACGGUGGAUGCCUGGGCAGUCAGAGGCGAUGAAGGACGUACUAACUUGCGAUAAGCGCAGAUAAGGCAGUAAGAGCCGUUUGAGUCUGCGAUUUCCGAAUGGGGAAACCCAACUGCAUAAGCAGUUACUGUUAACUGAAUACAUAGGUUAACAGAGCAAACCGGGGGAACUGAAACAUCUAAGUACCCCGAGGAGAAGAAAUCAACCGAGAUUCCGGUAGUAGCGGCGAGCGAACCUGGAUUAGCCCUUAAGCACUCGGUGAAGUAGGUGAACAAGCUGGAAAGCUUGGCGAUA